rnacentral:rRNA from 1 species
UACGUAGGGGGCUAGCGUUGUCCGGAUUUAUUGGGCGUAAAGAGCGUGUAGGCGGCCAGGUAAGUCUGCUGUGAAAACUCGAGGCUCAACCUCGAGACGUCGGCGGAAACCAUCUGGCUAGAGUCCGGAAGAGGAGAGUGGAAUUCCUGGUGUAGCGGUGAAAUGCGCAGAUAUCAGGAAGAACACCCGUGGCUAAGGCGGCUCUCUAGUACGGUACUGACGCUGAGACGCGAAAGCGUGGGGAGCGAACAGG